AUUCCACCAGGUCAGUAGAUGGCGCUUGCGCGCUCCUGUGGAUCCGCCCAAGCGCGAAUCAGAAAUAAAAUGCCGCUGGCUUGAUUAAGGCUGUGAUCCUACCUGUGUCUCCUCGUUGAUCCACAGACAGCUGUAGGACACUCAAGGCACUGCCACUUGGACUUGGACUCCUGAUAAACCAGAUGAUGGAUAGUGGUGUCAGUCAGGCAUGAAUGGGCCUCCAGGAUGCACCUCUGCACUCUUCUACAGUGAAACCAGAUGACAGCACAGAGCCAGGAUAUGGGUGAUGGAUUCAUCACAGAAUAGAUGAGGCAGAACUUCACACCAGGAGCCCAGAAUUUCAUCCUGAGCAUUAAAUCCCAGUCUGUGUGUCUGGCUUUCUACCAUUAUUGGACAUGGAAUUACUGGGAAACGAUCUGCAAUUUCUCCAUCUGUCUGCCUUUAGCUUGAUAAAGGCUUAUUUAUUCAUAUGUAUUUUUAGAUGUGUUUGUAUCGCCAUUGUUUGUCAUAAAAGAGCUUGAUCUUUUCAUCUUGAUUAAUUAAGUAAUUAAGUUGUUUUUCCCAACAUUGACUCUUUAAUCAUGUGUCAACAUGUUUUUUUUUUCUUUUUUUUCUUUUCAGUCAUAUAUUCAAAUAUUGACACUCAGGCACAGGAAAAAUGGUUACAUGUACAUGUAUAGCCACAAACUUUAUGUUUGGAGAUUUUAAUAACCUGAACUAAAAAUACUA